AUUUCACUGGCGCUAGUAUCACUUUUGAGCGCUACCUCGCGGUCGAAACUUAUAUUAAAAUACUGACGUACUUAAAUCCCUAUCUACAAUAUUUUUGUAUACCUUGACAAAAUUGGAAAAGGAUUGGAAUGCGCGCAGCCGAUUGUGCCGACGGACCUGUGCCGCCGAUAUAUCGAAAAUCGUGAAGAAGAGGAGAAGAGGAGAAGAAGAGAAGGAGAAGAAACGGAAGCCGGAACGUGCGCGCACGUUGAAACGAUAGAACUCGGAAAGAAGGAGAGAAAAGAAAAUCUGUAGAAUGAAACACGUGCACGUAUGAAAGAGAUGGAAAAGAAAAGAAGAGAAAAACCAAAUUGCGGUUAGGACACGAAGCGAAGAAGAGGCAAGGCACCAAAAAUUGUGGCUCAAGAAGGCAACUAUUGGACUAUUGAGUUAUUUUCGAAGGUUCGACAGAACUCUUCGAAAAUGGCUCUUAGUCAUACUUUAAUUUUACCAUAUCGUUACUCAAAAUGCUCUUGUGUAGUAGUAAUGUAGAUUUGAUAAACCGAAAUGGUAUUGAAAAAGAAAUAUUAGUGAAAAUAAAAGUGACUCUUUGGCAUUAUUUUUCUACAGAUCUCCCUUUUCUAUCCUAAUUAUGUGAUUAUAGAAUAUUUGCGACGCAUUUCGAUGAUUUCUGUACUCGAAUAUCGUAUUUAUAAAAAUGUAAUAUUUUCGAUUAUUAGAUCGAGAAAUUGCGUUUAUUUCAGACGACAUUAAUCAAGGUGGCGUGAAGUAAGUGCAGGAUGAGAAUCUUUUUACCAUCGAAGUCGAUGUUGUCAAGUCGUGACAGAAGCUGCGUCGUUCUUCUCUUAAUUACGAGUAAUUAGUAUUUGUUCUUUAAGAUACAUUAUCUUCCAGUAUAUCGCUCGAUUCAUAAAAAUGUGUUUUUUACGGUGUAUUGUUCGUAAAUCGUGACAAUAGUACUGAAAAAGAAAUAUCAAUGAAAAUAAUAACGGUGACUGCUAAUUACGUCUUCUUUUUUUCGUAUUUUUUGGCAUUAUUUCUCUAUAUAUUUUACUUUUCUCUCCUAAUUAUGUGAUUAUAGAAUAUUUGCGACGCAUCUCGAUGAUUUCUGUACUCGAAUAUCGUAUUUAUAAAAAUGUUAUAUUUUCGAUUAUUAGAUCGAGAAAUUGUUCAUUAAUUGACUAGUGACGUACCUGCGCAUGCGCGGCGCGUUUGCGCAAUCGUCUUGUCGGUGGAUAUAACGCCAUUUUGUGUUCGGUGGUUGACAGCUACACACGGAAGCCGUAUCGUCCUCAUUAAUUUCAGGUUUCCAAGAAUUCUACGUACCGAUAGACGAAACAUCCCGGCUUUCUUUUUCUACAUAUCUUUGUCCUUCGUCCUGUGUACAAGCUCAAAAAAAGAAUCAUUCUCUUCAUCAUUACUGGGCAGGAUACUCAUCAUACAAAGAACCAACAAACGUUCCGAUAAUUCAAAUAAAAAAAGAAUCAUCCUCUUCGUCAUCCUGGGGCAGGAUGCCCAUCCCGCAAGCAUCAAUGAAGAUUUUAAAACAUCAUUGUAACUGUGCACGAAGCAAUGAAAAAAUCGAGUGUUGUAUCGUUAAACUAAAAACCAAGAAAUCGCGAAAUAGAAGCAGUGCUUGCUCGUUUGUUUAAAUUAUGCCGCGUUUCGUGAUUUAAAUUAAUUUCAAGUGUUUUUGUGUCGACUGCGCGCAAUGCAGUCAGUUAUAGAGUCAGUGUUUGCUCGUACAAAGUGAUUUUAACAGUCGUGUAGACUGUACUUAUAAAAGAUAGUAGAGUUUCGCGAAGUAAAUUCAGUGACCGUUCGUUAAUAAUUAUCUAUCGCGAAUUAGAGUCAGUGCAUCACUGAAGAGGAUCUCGACCAACUUCGGUGUCUACCUACCUCAUUUUCAACCAGCUACAUACCAUCCAACCUCAAUGUCUACCUAAAUCGCGGACGAGUGUUUUGGAGCCACCGUAGAACUUCUUAAGUAGUAAGUGAACAAAUUUGAAGUCCCUCCAGUGCUCAAUCAUGUCGAGGACGAAAGGUCCGAAUCGGCACGGGUUACUGGUUGUAAUUUUUUAAAUACAUUAUUGACGAGCAUGACCGUGAGUGACUCCUCUUUUGGAUUUACUCGCGAGUGGUAUAUUUUUAAUCGCCUAUGUGUUUUCAUUGUUUAUAUCUAUUUUAUUAGUUUAGGAUAGGGUCUUCUUGUUUCAUAGAUUGGAUCAAUUAAUAGUGCAAUUAAUAAGCACUUUUUUUAUGCGUGUUUGCCCGCGAUAUUAGUAAUGAAAUCGGAUAUUAAUUUAUCCGAUUUCGUCAAAAAAGCAUGUAAUAUGAUCUACGUUAUAUGCAUUGCUUCGUAUUUAGUCUAUUUAAUCGCGAUUUACCUUGAUGUAUCGAUGUAGAUGUAUUAAAAAACAAACAAGAAGACAAGCGCGACGGAUAGAUUCUGGAAAACGAGUGGUAGAUCAUGAUUUAACUUCUUAAUUAGAACAGCCAUUUGUUAGAAGGAAACGUCCGAGGUUUUGUGAUUAUUGUUACAUGAAAAAUAAAUGGAAUAUUCAAUCUAUUUUGUUCAUAAAAGAAAAGUCUCAAUAGAGUCAUUGUUUUUGAAAGAAAAAAGUCGAGUAGAAUCAUUGCUAAUAAAAAACAAAGAGACUUGUAGAGUCAUAGUCCGUAGGCCCUAGAAUAAGUUAAUCAUUUUUUAGAUCAGGAUUUUCAGCUUCUAAUAAACUAAUUCCCGUUUCUCCCCCCCAUACUUUCUGUGUUCUCAUCUAUGCGUGUGCCCAGGUGUUACUCGUAUGGGUGAGAAACUGUUAGUAUGGGUUUAGUUUUAAGUUUUCCCAUAUUGGCGACUGUCAUAGCGUUAGUGAUUGCGCACGAUGUACCUUGCAUCUGUGUGUUCGUGCUAGGUGGUGCAUUGUACAUCGUUUCGCGAUUAUUUAUAAAUAAAUACGAAUAAAACGAUUAUACUAAUAGAUUGUUAUUUAAAGUACUAUACUAAUGUAUUAUUAUUUAUAUCGUUUUGCAUAGUAGAGUCAGCACAUAUUGUAUGGAAAUAUUCGUAUAUUACUAGUAUGCAUAUAUAUACUGGUAUAUACUAGUAUUUUUUGCUUUAGUCAUUUACGCAAUAAUCAUUAGCCUUGACAGUCGAUUACAGCAAUUGGUACGUACUCCUAAUAUAUUAGAAAAAAUACGCGUUUGAGCUAGGGUGUCGGAGGUGCCCCGGGGCAUACUCUCUAGUGUAGGCUUUUGCACCCUGGCGGUAUGUGAGAGAAUCGUGGAGUGUGUGUGUUGGAACGAAUGUCUUGCCAUUUUUUAAAUAUAGGUCAUAGGCAGGCAGGUAGCAUACCUUUUUCUGUGUGACUGUGUAUUUAAUUUUAAGUAGGUAGGACCGGAUACAAUGCGUUCUAAUUUCCACUCAGGAGUGGAAUGUUCCGUAUCCGCAUAUUAGGCAAAGUUUCAGCAAAUUUUACAAUUAUUAUAGCACGUUUGUGUUUUUU